CUGCCCCUGUCAGGGGGACAACCCGCCGAAAGGCGGGCUAAACCCGCAUACAUGCCACCGGGGCAUCCCGGAGGCAGGAAAGGCUUCGGCCGGACAGGGAUGGGCAUGCGGCGCAUUAGGCAGUAGGCGGGGUAACGGCCCACCUAACCGACGAUGCGUAGGGGUUCUGAGAGGAAGGUCCCCCACACUGGUACUGAGACACGGACCAGACUCCUACGGGAGGCAGCAGUGAGGAAUAUUGGUCAAUGGUCGGGAGACUGAACCAGCCAAGCCGCGUGAGGGAUGAAGGUACAGAGUAUCGUAAACCUCUUUUGUCAGGGAACAAAGGCGGGGACGUGUCCCCGGAUGAGUGUACCUGAAGAAAAAGCAUCGGCUAACUCCGUGCCAGCAGCCGCGGUAAUACGGAGGAUGCGAGCGUUAUCCGGAUUUAUUGGGUUUAAAGGGUGCGCAGGCGGUCUGUUAAGUCAGCGGUCAAAGCCCGGGGCUCAACCCCGGCCCGCCGUUGAAACUGGCAGUCUCGAGUUGGAGAGAAGUAUGCGGAAUGCGCGGUGUAGCGGUGAAAUGCAUAGAUAUCGCGCAGAACUCCGAUUGCGAAGGCAGCAUGCCGGCUCCACACUGACGCUGAGGCACGAAAGCGUGGGUAUCGAACAGGAUUAGAUACCCUGGUAGUCCACGCAGUAAAC
rnacentral:rRNA from 1 species